GACGAACGCUGGCGGCGUGCCUAAUACAUGCAAGUAGAACGCUGAAGGAGGAGCUUGCUUCUCUGGAUGAGUUGCGAACGGGUGAGUAACGCGUAGGUAACCUGCCUGGUAGCGGGGGAUAACUAUUGGAAACGAUAGCUAAUACCGCAUAAGAGUAGAUGUUGCAUGACAUUUGCUUAAAAGGUGCAAUUGCAUCACUACCAGAUGGACCUGCGUUGUAUUAGCUAGUUGGUGGGGUAACGGCUCACCAAGGCGACGAUACAUAGCCGACCUGAGAGGGGGAUCGGCCACACUGGGACUGAGACACGGCCCAGACUCCUACGGGAGGCAGCAGGAGGGAAUCUUCGGCAAUGGACGGAAGUCUGACCGAGCAACGCCGCGUGAGUGAAGAAGGUUUUCGGAUCGUAAAGCUCUGUUGUAAGAGAAGAACGAGUGUGAGAGUGGAAAGUUCACACUGUGACGGUAUCUUACCAGAAAGGGACGGCUAACUACGUG
rnacentral:rRNA from 1 species